UACAGAGGUCUCAAGCGUUGUUCGGAUUCAUUGGGCGUAAAGCGUCUGUAGGUGGCUUUUCAAGUCCGCCGUCAAAUCCCAGGGCUCAACCCUGGACAGGCGGUGGAAACUAGCAAGCUGGAGUACGGUAGGGGCAGAGGGAAUUUCCGGUGGAGCGGUGAAAUGCAUUGAGAUCGGAAAGAACACCAACGGCGAAAGCACUCUGCUGGGCCGACACUGACACUGAGAGACGAAAGCUAGGGGAGCAAAUGGG
rnacentral:rRNA from 1 species